rnacentral:rRNA from 1 species
UCUGGUUGAUCCUGCCAGUAGUCAUAUGCUUGUCUCAAAGAUUAAGCCAUGCAUGUCUAAGUAUAAAUAGUAUACAGUGAAACUGCGAAUGGCUCAUUAAAACAGUUAUAGUUUAUUUGAUAAUUGACAAUUACAUGGAUAACCGUGGUAAUUCUAGAGCUAAUACAUGCUUAAACGCCCGACUUUAUGGAAGGGUGGUAUUUAUUAGACUGAAGCCAAUAUUCCUUGUGUCUAUUGCGGUAUUCAUAAUAACUGAUCGAAUCUCUUUUUGAGAUAAAUCAUUCAAGUUUCUGCCCUAUCAGCUUUCGAUGGUAGUGUAUUGGACUACCAUGGCAGUAACGGGUAACGAAGAAUUAGGGUUCGAUUUCGGAGAGGGAGCAUGAGAAACGGCUACCGCAUCUAAGGAAGGCAGCAGGCGCGUAAAUUACCCAAUCCUGACUCAGGGAGGUAGUGACAAGAAAUAGCAAACCGGGAACCUCAUGGUUUCACGGUAUUGCAAUGCGAACAAUUUAAAACCCUUAGCGAGAAUCAAGUGGAGGACAAGUCUGGUGCCAGCACCCGCGGUAAUUCCAGCUCCACUAGCGUAUAUUAAAGUUGUUGCAGUUAAAAAGCUCGUAGUUGAACCUCUGUCUGGGGCUAGUUUUGGCUUUGGUCAGGCUAGUUCUAGGCAUCCGCCUACAAGACUUAGAGGGCAUUCAGUUGUUCACUAGGAGGAGUAGGCAUUUUACUUUGAAAAAAUUAGAGUGUUUAAGGCAGGCAAUCGCCCGCAUAUAUUAGCAUGGAAUAAUAGAAUAGGACACUUUUCCAUUUCGUUGGUUAUUGGAAUCGUGUAAUGAUUAAUAGGGACAGUUGUGGGCAUUUGUAUUUAAUUGUCAGAGGUGAAAUUCUUGGAUUUAUUAAAGACAAACUAACGCGAAAGCAUUUGCCAAGGAUGUUUUCAUUAAUCAAGAACGAAAGUUAGGGGAUCAAAGACGAUCAGACACCGUCCUAGUCUUAACUAUAAACUAUUCCGACUCAAUGUUUGACUGGCUUAUAUAACCAGUUGAGCGUUGUAUGAGAAAUCAAAGUCUUUAGGUUCUGGGGGGAGUAUGGUUGCAAAGCUGAAACUUAAAGGAAUUGACGGAAGAGCACAACCAGGAGUGGAUUCUGCGGCUUAAUUUGACUCAACACGGGGAAACUUACCAGGUUAAAACAAUAGUGGGAUUGACAGUUUGAGAGCGCUUUCUUGAUUGGUUGGGUGGUGGUGCAUGGCCGUUCUUAGUUGGUGGAGUGAUUUGUCUGU